AUUGAACGCUGGCGGCAUGCUUUACACAUGCAAGUCGAACGGUAACAGGCCUUCGGGUGCUGACGAGUGGCGAACGGGUGAGUAAUGCAUCGGAACGUGCCCAGAGGUGGGGGAUAACGCAGCGAAAGCUGUGCUAAUACCGCAUGUGAUCUGAGGAUGAAAGCAGGGGACCAGGCAGCAAUGUUUGGCCUCGCGCCUUUGGAGCGGCCGAUGUCAGAUUAGGUAGUUGGUGGGGUAAAGGCCUACCAAGCCGACGAUCUGUAGCUGGUCUGAGAGGACGACCAGCCACACUGGGACUGAGACACGGCCCAGACUCCUACGGGAGGCAGCAGUGGGGAAUUUUGGACAAUGGGCGCAAGCCUGAUCCAGCAAUGCCGCGUGCGGGAAGAAGGCCUUCGGGUUGUAAACCGCUUUUGUACGGAACGAAAAGGCUCUGGCUAAUACCUGGGGCUGAUGACGGUACCGUAAGAAUAAGCACCGGCUAACUACGUG
rnacentral:rRNA from 1 species